rnacentral:rRNA from 1 species
AACGUAGGGGACAAGCGUUAUCCGGAUUUACUGGGCGUAAAGCGCCCGUAGGCGGCCUGACAAGUUGGACGUGAAAGCUCCUGGCUUAACUGGGAGAGGCCGUUCAAAACUGUCAAGCUAGAGUCUGGAAGAGGAGAGCGGAAUUCCCGGUGUAGUGGUGGAAUGCGUAGAUAUCAGGAGGAACACCGAUAGCGAAGGCAGCUCGCUGGGACGGUACUGACGCUGAGGCGCGAAAGCGUGGGGAGCGAACAGG